rnacentral:rRNA from 1 species
AGGACGAACGCUGGCGGCGUGCUUUACACAUGCAAGUCGAGCGGUAAGGCCCUUCGGGGUACACGAGCGGCGAACGGGUGAGUAACACGUGGGUGACCUGCCCCUCACUCUGGGAUAAGCCCGGGAAACUGGGUCUAAUACCGGAUAUGACCACAUGUCGCAUGGUGUGUGGUGGAAAGCGUUUAGUGGUGGGGGAUGGACCCGCGGCCUAUCAGCUUGUUGGUGGGGUAAUGGCCUACCAAGGCGACGACGGGUAGCCGGCCUGAGAGGGCGAUCGGCCACACUGGGACUGAGACACGGCCCAGACUCCUACGGGAGGCAGCAGUGGGGAAUAUUGCACAAUGGGCGGAAGCCUGAUGCAGCGACGCCGCGUGAGGGAUGACGGCCUUCGGGUUGUAAACCUCUUUCAGUACCGACGAAGCGAGAGUGACGGUAGGUACAGAAGAAGCACCGGCCAACUACGUGCCAGCAGCCGC